UUAAUUCACAAUGGAUAACAGACUUAAACCUAAGGCAUGAAACUUUAAGAAUUCUAGUUAACCGUCUUUAAAUUUGGAUGGUUCAGCUGAGCUUACUUUCAAUAUAUUUAUUUUUUUUUCAUUCAAGAAAUAUUUUUAAGUGUCUACUAGAAUAUUAGAUAUUUGGAUUUAAAAAUAAAAGAACUCAUGAAGUUUCUGCCCUCCAGAUCACAGCGUAAUGGUGAAGACAGAUACACAGAUAAUUAAAAUGCAACACGGCAAAAGCACAGAUAGUGUUCAACAUAGGUUAUUCGAACAUCCAGGAGAAAAUGAAAUGUAGUAUCACCUGAGACAGGGAGGGAGAACACAGUUUCAGAGAAGGAUUCCUGGGGAGGAGACACCGAACUGUCUGACUAUGAGAACUUAGGUAUAAUGGAAGUUGGAAGAAGACAUAUGAACCAAACCCUGGAACCCACAAGCAGCAUGGUGUGUUAGUACUGUAUUGUUGGUGCAUAAUCUCUGAAGUGAGAAGACUGGAUAUUGUUCUAAAGAGGAGAGGGGAAAUCACUGGAGAGUUUUAAGCCCUCACCUUCCAUUUUAGAGAGGCUACCCUGCUAUCCCUGUGAAGGAUGGAUUGAGGGACACCAUCAAGCAUAUAGAAGAGUUAUGUUCUAUGUCAUUCUAGAAUUUCCUCACAGAAGAUCUUCAGAAAAUUAAUGUGGAAAAGUCUAAAAAUAGUUCUGUCCCUUUCAUGUGAUAAUUUUGCUCUUCUAUGUAGACAGAAAAAUAUAGUAGACAGAUAACUGGAAAAGAAAGCCCUCCACGUGUGAUCAAGGGGGACAUGGAACCUAUGUUCCUUGGAGACCACAUGGUGAAAACUGCUUAAUCAUUGUCACUGGAGAAAGGUGUCUUUAGAAGCAAAAUGUAGAUUUAAGUAACUCACGUAGAGGUCACUCAUUCAGUCAACCCAGAAAUCCAGUUUUUACUUUUUAUCAGAAGUCAUUUAUGUUUCCAAUAUUCAUAAUGAAGAAAGAGAGAAGAUACAUGUAUGGAAUGGUGAAGUUAAGAUGGAAGAGUCUGAAAUAAGAAACAAUGACUUUCACUGAUCACAAGGGAUUAUAAGCUAUUUUACAGCCAAAAAUUUAAGUAAUUGCAUAAGAGCAAGUACAGAUUUUGUUAAUAAUGAAAAUUAUAAGGCAAAUCUAAACUGGGGGGGGGGAGAAAAUCCUCGAACAUUUCAAGUAUUUACUCAUCAUUUUUUUCAUGUGUCCCACACUUCUUCCAGAUUGCAAAUUAAACUGUGUCUUCCCACUUAGACAUACUUUCUAUCUCUUGGGAAUGAAAUGAAUACUGUGAUUCUUCAUUGCUCAAUGGCCCAGUCUCUCCAGCUUCUCCAGCUUUGAAUGGAUGAAAAAAGAAUGCAGAGCCAUUUUGGAAGGUUUUGCAGCUUUGUGAACAGUUGGAAGCAGGAAUCUUGGUGCACGAAUCUCUUAAUAUUUUUUUCCUGUUGAUGUUAUACAACUAUAAAUGAAGCUUUUAAAGAUAUUUAAAACCAAGGUAAAGCCACCAAAAUAUUACACAAAGAUAAAUAGUUUUAUUUUCUAUUUCGCUGUGAUUAUGGAAUAGUAAAACGUAAAUAUAAGGCAUAAAUAUACUUUACUUAUACUUUGGAACUUAAUUUAUUCUUAAAUUAAAAAUUUAAAACUUCUAAAUGGAAGAAUCAAGGGAUUGUAAAGUAGUGAAGUUAACCUUUAAAACAGUGUUCCUAGGAAUUUGAUAUCCUAAAAGCAAGAGGCAAUAGGAGAUACAGAGAAAGGCAGGAAGAGGUGAAUAAAAAGUUUUGUUCCAUCACUAUUGUGGUUACUGAAGGAGCUUGGGCUUACUGGGUGAUGCACAUCAGUGCUAAUUUCUAUUACUCAGAAGAUUAACACCUUUUGGACUGAAGGAAUGGAUAUUCAGAGUUCAAACCACAACUCUACUGGCUUCAUUCAAUAAUUUGCAGUUAUGUUCUACGAAACAGGAUUAUAAUCCACUUGGAGCUGAAGGAAUAAUGGCCACCAAAGGAACAGUUCUUCUUCUGUUUUAUAAUUCAGUAAACUCUUGUUGGAUUCCUAGUUGAUGUCAUGAAUAUGUUAGGUGUAGUGGUGGUGAUGGGGGUGAAGGUGGUAGUUAAAAAUAAGCAGUAUCUUCUGGGGAGAAUAUACUCUUUUGGAAGAGAUUAAAAGCUUAAAUAUAUAGAAAGCAUAAAAACAUAAUGUGAUAGAAGUAUAUAAUGAAUGUUACUAUUACCUAGUAGAAAAAAAUACAACAAAACUUUGAGAAAGCUCUUGAGGAAUGGCUGGUGUUGCUCCAAUUUAUUUAGGAGGAUGCAGAGCUCCUAGACAAAGUGUUAACACACACAAAACAGAAACAAAAAGAAAAUUAUAAAACAGCUUGAGGAGAUAGAGGAAAACAAAUAUUAGAGUUAAAAUCUAGGAAAACGAAUGUACAUGCUAUUCCACAGAGAAAAAAAUGAAGCAGCAGCAGUGCUUAUGGAGUUAAAUAAGGCUCUUCUCAUAAAGUAUGAACUCUGAACUUUUGAUGAGGCAUAAGUUUCUCAUUGUCUAUGGAAUAUUAACGAUUUUUGAUGUCAUCACUACAGAAAAAAUUUCAUAGUGCUAUUUGGAGACCACCUGUUGUAAGUAGUUUCCAUGGCAAAUCAUGAGAUGCAUGGAGAUUAUUACAAACCACCAAGUUCUACAUACACCAUAAAGUUGAUGUAUGUUAAUACACAAAGAAUACACAAAAAGCUUCUGUUAAUACACAAAUAAAGUAAUACCACCAAGAAAAAUAUUUAGAAUGUGUUUCUUAUAAAUUUUAAUUCUAAGGUAGAAAUGGAAAGGUUUGAGUUUACAGGUGCAAUUUAAAAAACAUAACUCUUCCUGCAUUUGUCAAGAGUGGCAUAGAAAGAAAAUUAAGGGAAGUGAAACACUGACUUCACAAAUAAUGACGAAGAAUAUAAAUUUUUUGAUACCAUUGCUUAUGAUGAAAAACACAUGGGUCUGUCAGGAAGAGGCAGCAUCUCGUUAUAGUAUGCAAGCCUGUCAAGAUAAUCUCAGAUUGGAGAAGAGUAUUUAAACUAAGAAAUGAGAGGGUUAGGCAUAGUCAAAGCAAAAGAAGGACAAUGCCAAAUAUUUCUCAGGAGAAAAAACAAUUAGAAACUAUUAUCAUAGCCUUGGAUAUCCCAUGUUUCACUUUCCAAAUAAAGGCAAUUUAUUUAUUUAUUCAUGCAUUCAGAAUAUUAUGGGAUACAAAUGUUUUGGUUACAUGAAUUGCUU